UUGGCUUAGAAGCAGCCAUCCUUGAAAGAGUGCGUAACAGCUCACUGGUCAAGUGGUCCUGCGCCGACGAUGUAACGGGGCUCAAGCACGGCACCGAAGCUGCGGGAUCCCCCGCAUGGCUCGGCGUACGAGGGAGGCCUCGUGCGUCCAGGCCGGGGGAUCGGUAGGGGAGCGUUCCGACGCGGGUGAAGCGGCGGGGGAACCCAGCCGUGGACGCGUCGGAAGUGAGAAUGCCGGCAUGAGUAGCGAGAGACGGGGGAGGAGCCCGUCCGCCGAUAGCCCAAGGGUUCCUGGGGAAGGUUCAUCCGCCCAGGGUUAGUCGGGACCUAAGCCGAGGCCGAGAGGCGUAGGCGAUGGACGACCGGUUGAUAUUCCGGUACCACCUCAUCCGCGCCCAGGCCGGAUCCGGGGUACUAAGGGAACCCCUCCUCCGGGAGGGGCUACCGACCGACCCGGUGACGGCCAGCGAUGGGGGGACGCAGAAGGGUAGCUCGACCCAGGCGUUGGUCGUUCCUGGGGCAAGCGUGUAGGGGGAGGCCCUAGGCAAACCCGGGGCCUCGUCAACCCCGAGGCGUGAUGCCGAGCCGCUUCAGGCGAAGCGAGCGAUCCCAUGCUGCCGAGAAAAGCCUCUAGCGAGUGGAUGAGGUGCCCGUACCCCAAACCGACACAGGUGGGCCGGUAGAGCAUACCGAGGCGAUCGAGAGAACCCUGGUUAAGGAACUCGGCAAAUCGCCCCCGUAACUUCGGGAGAAGGGGGACCCCGGUAGGGUGAAGGCCCUCGCGGCCGGAGCUCGAAGGGGUGGCACAGACCAGGCCCAAGCGACUGUUUACUAAAAACACAGGUCCGUGCUAAGUCGUAAGACGACGUAUACGGACUGACGCCUGCCCGGUGCCGGAACGUUAAGGGGAGGGGUCAGCGCGGCCUUUGGGUCGCGCGAAGCUCCGAACCUAAGCGCCGGUAAACGGCGGCGGUAACUAUAACCGUCCUAAGGUAGACGGCCGAGGAUGCGCCCCUCGGCGCUGCCCCUCGCGUCGGCGACGGCGCGAGUGCAGCUGGCUAUAUGCUGGGACACCCGAGGAUCCGGCGGUACUCGCCAUGUCGGUGCCGAACGUUGGGCGCGCCGGCAUGCGCAGUGACAACCCGACCGGUGCGGGCGAUCAGCAGGAAAGAUCGGGGAUCGAGCAGUGGAUCGUCGGGUUCGUGGACGGCGAGGUUGCUUCAGCGUCCCGAUCAUCCGGACCCGGGCUGCAGGCUCGGGUGGCAGGUGCAGCCCCGCUCCGCGGUCGUGCAGGGCCGGCGGAGCGUGGAGGCCCCGUGGAUGAUCCGGCGGUACUUCGGCUGUGGCGGUCUGCCGGAACCGGAGGUACGACCACCGAGAGGACCUGUUCGCCUACGGGGUCCCUCGGUUCCAGGACCUCCGGGACCGGAUCGUGCGUCCUUCGAACGGGAUCCACUGGUCACGGCGAAGGCCGAUGGGUUCACGAGGUUCGCGGCGGUCAUCCGGAUGAUGGAGGCCAAGUUCCACCUCUCGGUGGAGGGCCUCGCUCGG
rnacentral:rRNA from 1 species